rnacentral:lncRNA from 1 species
AGAGGAAAUUUUCCAUGUUUAUUCAAACUCUUCCGAAACCCACUAGGCUGGGCCCUUUCGGAGGGUCCAUGGUCUGUCCAUGUUAAUGUGAAUCUGCACACAAUGCAGAUUUAAAACAUGGAAAUACAGUGCUUGAGGAGUCAGCUACAAAGUGCUGAUGGAGUGCUAGUGUUAAGUACAACAAAAGCCACACAUCUGGAGGACUGCAUGUUCUCCAGUCAGCCUGCUGAUGGGUCCACAUAAGAAAGUAGAAAUCAAACAGCCUCUGGCCAAGCAAGGCUGGAGGGUUCUGGAAAACCCUAGGUCCUACCUGAGCCCUCAUACCAUGUGAUCCUCAAAGGGAAACUGAAGCUCCAGGAACCAAGUAAAAGAAAUCCAGAGCAGGAAAGGGAGAGAUGUGUGGCAGGAUCCUGGGAGCAGGCAGGCCAGGUCAAAGUAAAGGGGGCCUUGCAUCCCUUUGACAGGCUGGCAGUGGUCACAGGUGAGUGAUGAAUCCCCAGAGGGAAGGAAAAGAUUCUGUGAGAGUCACAGGAAGUGUCCCCCGGAGGGCCGGGGGGGGGGCUGGCGGGUGGGGGGUGCUGCUCAGGUCCCACCAUUGGCUCACCCCACAGGUUGGGCCAUCUUUGUGUGCAAGCUCUGGUGCGCAAUGAGGUGUGCACGCUGCUUGAAACUCUUGUCACACUCCCCACAGCCGAAUGGCCGCUCACCCGUGUGCACACGCCUGUGGUCUAGCAGGUAGGAGCGCAGCGCGAAGCUCUUGCCACACUCGCUGCAGCUGAAGGGCUUCUCGCCUGUGUGGAUGCGCUGGUGGUCAGCCAGGUAGGCGCUUCGGCUAAAGCUCUUGCCACAUUCGGAACAAGAGAAGGGCUUCUCACCCGUGUGCACGCCCUGGUGGCGCACUAGGUCAGAAGAGCUGCGGAAGCUCUUGUCGCAUUCAGGGCACUUGUGUGGCUUCUCACCCGUGUGUGUGCGCUGGUGCCUGGCUAGGUCUGAACCCCAGCGGAAGCGCUUCCCACACUGCGCGCAGCUGUGGGGCUUCUCCGUCAAUAAGUUCUGAAACUGGCGCCUGUGAGUGGGCGGCCGCCCCCGACGCGCUCCCACCAGCGGGUCCAGGGCUGUCCUCAUUGGAUUCUCACUCUCCCAGACCUCGGUCUCAGCCUCCCCAGGAUUCCAGGACAUAGGCACUUCAGUCUGUCCCAACAAUGCUGUCACUGCCUCCUCUGCAGGGGGCUUUUGGCUUUUGGGUUUCAAACC